rnacentral:rRNA from 1 species
GAUGAACGCUGGCGGCGUGCCUAAUACAUGCAAGUCGAGCGAACAGACGAGGAGCUUGCUCCUCUGACGUUAGCGGCGGACGGGUGAGUAACACGUGGAUAACCUACCUAUAAGACUGGGAUAACUUCGGGAAACCGGAGCUAAUACCGGAUAAUAUAUUGAACCGCAUGGUUCAAUAGUGAAAGACGGUUUUGCUGGCACUUAUAGAGGGAUCCGCGCCGCAUUAGCUAGUUGGUAAGGUAACGGCCUAUCAAGGGAACGAUGCGUAGACGACCGGAGAGGGUGAUAGGCCGCCCUGGAGCUGAGACACGGUCCAGACUACUGCGGGAGGCAGCAGUAGGGAAUCUUCCGCAAAGGGCGAAAGCCUGACGGAGCAACGCCGCGUGAGUGAUGAAGGUCUUCGGAUCGUAAAACUCUGUUAUUAGGGAAGAACAAAUGUGUAAGUAACUAUGCACGUCUUGACGGUACCUAAUCAGAAAGCCACGGCUAACUACGUG